GGAGAGGUGGCCGAGUGGUUUAAGGCGCACGCUUGGAAAGCGUGUUAGGGUUCAUAGCCCUACGUGGGUUCAAAUCCCAUCCUCUCCUCCA
rnacentral:tRNA from 1 species